AGAGUCUCUAGUUCCAUCCAUGUUGCUGCAAAUGGCAUUAUUUUGUUCUUUUUUAUGGCUGAGUAGUAUUCCAUUGUAUAUAUAUAUACCACAUCUUAUGUAUCCAUUCAUCUAUCCAUGGACAUUUAAGUUGCUUCCAUGCCUUGGCUGUUGUGAAUAGCACUGCAGUGAACAUAGGGGUGCAUAUAUCUUUUUCCAUUAAAGUUUUGUCCAGAUAUAUGUGCAAGAGUGAGAUUGCUGGGUCUUCUUGCUUUUAAAAAGUAGCUUCAUUGGGAGUUGCCACUGUGGUGCACUGGGUUAAGAAUCCAACAGUAGUGGCUUGGGUCGCUCCAGGGAUGGGGGUCUGAUCCCCAGCUAGUGCAGUGGGUCAAAGGACCUGGCAUUGCAGCCACUAUGGUAUAGGACACAGCAGCAGCAUGGAUUCCAUCCCUGGCCUGGGACCUUCCAUAUGCUGUGGGUGUGGCCAUAAAUUAAAAAAAAAAAAAGGUUUUUAAAAUUAAAAUAGCUCUGCAUGGUAAUUGGUACACAAAAGAUUGCAUGUAUUUCAUGUAUACAAUUUAGUGGGUUUGAACAUAUUCUUGGACCCCUGAAAUUGUCACCACGAUCAAGGUAAGAGGCACCUCCAACAUUUUCAUCCUGCCCAUCUUCCAGCUUUGUUGUAAUGAGGACACUUUACUUGAGAUCAUCAGCUCUCUUAACAAAAUUUUCACCAUACAGUACAGUGCUGUUGCCCACAGGGACUGCUAGGAUCUCUGGGAUUGAGGACAUCUGUUUUCUAAGAUGGUUAGCCCUACAAAAUACACACCACCAUCAAGUUUCCAAACUUGUCUAGCAGAGCUUUCGAUGGAAGGAUCAGAGGCAUGCAAAGUAAAAGAGUCCAUAAACAGGAAAAUGCGGCUGUGUUCCUGUCUAGCAUUAUGCCAAAGUCCUGUAAAUAUUUUUCACCUUGAAGAUCCACCUAUUGGGUUGACUUGUGUCUCCCCAAGUUCAUGCAUGCCACGCCCCCCCUCCACCCCCUUCCAGGACCUGUGAAGAUGACCUCAUUGGGAAAUAGGAUCUUGGCGGGAUGUCAUCCAGUUCAGAUGAGGUCAUUUGGGAUCUCCGUGGGCUCUGAUCCAAUGAUUGAAGCCCUUCUAAGUCAAUCAUUAUCAAUAAGUCAAUUAUCCAAGGGAAAUGGGAUGGGGGCAUGCAGAGGGAAGAGAGCCAGGCAAAGUGGAGUUUGGAGUGAUGUAGCUGCAAUGCCAAGAAUUACCAGGAAUCCUCCAAGCUGGAAAAGGCAGGGAAAGCCCCUCCCCUGGAGCUUCUGCAGGGAGCACUUUCCUGCUCACACGUUGAUCUCAGACUUCUGGUCUCCAGAACAGUGAGGUAAUAUUUCAUUUUUUUUGUUAUUUUGUUUUGUUUUUCCUCCUUUUUUUGGCCACUCAGUGUGUGGUGCUUGCUUAAAACAGCCCUAGGAAACUAACACAGUUACUUUUUUUCCAAACUUUUUAUUUUAUUGAAUUAUAGUUGCUUGAUAAUGUGUUAGUUUCAGGUAUCCCACAAAAUAAUUUGACAUAAUUACUUUCUCAUGUUCUUUUCCCUUAGAAGUUGUUACAAGAUCCUGCAUAGAGUUCCUGGUGCUAUGUUGCAGGUCCUUGUGGGAUUUUAUUUUAUAUACAGUAUAUUAUAUAUAUAUUAUAUACCGUAUAUACAGUUUGUUUUAUAUACAGUAGUGUGUCUCUGUGAAUCCCAAACUCCUGAUUUAUCCUCACCCACUUCUGCUUUGGUAACCACAGGUUUGUUCUCUAUGUCUGUGGGUCUGUUUCUCUUUUGUAAAUAAGUUCAUUUGUAUCAUUUUUACGCAUGGACUUUGAGAACAAACUUGUGGUUGCUGAGGGGGAGGGGGAGGGAGGGGAUGGACUGGGAGUCUGGGGUUCACAGAUGCAAACGAUUGCCUUUGGAAUGGAUAAGCAAUGAAAUCCUGCUGUGUAGCACUGGGAACUAUGUCUAGUCACUUGUGAUGGAGGAUGAUGGAGGAUAACGUGAGAAAAAGAAUGUAUGUAUGUGACUGGGUCACCUUGCUGUGUAGUAGAAAAUUGACAGAACACUGUAAACCAACUAUAAUAGAAAAAAUAAAAAUCAUUUAAAAUAAAAAAAAUAAAGUAGCUAAAUUGAAGUGUAGAUAGUUUACAAUGUUGCCUUUGUGUUUUAGUUUCAGAUGUACAGCACGGUGAUUCUGCUACUAUAGAUAUUAUAUAAUUAAUAUAUAUAUUCUUUUCAGAUUCUUAUCCAUUAUAGGUUAUUACAAGAUAUUGGAUAGCAUUCCCUGUGCUAUACAUUAGGUCCUUCUUAUUCUUUUUUUUUUUUCCUUGUCUUUUUAGGGCUACACCCGCAGCAUAUAGAGGUUUCCAGGCUAGGGGACGAAUCGGAGCUGUAGCUGCCAGCCUACGCCAGAGCCACAGCAACGCCAGAUCCGAGCUGCGUCGGCAACCUACACCACAGCUCACGGCAACAUUGUAUCCUUAACCUUCUAAGCGGGGCCAGGGAUCAAACACACAACCUCAUGGUUCCUAGUCAGAUGCGUUUCUGCUGCACCAAGACGGGAACUCCAUUGCUGUAUUUUAUAUAUAGGAGUGUGUAUCGGUUAAUCCCAAACCCUUAAUUUAUUCUCUGUCCCUUUCCCCUUUGGUAACCAUAAGUUUGAUUUCUCUGUCCAUGAGUCUCUUUCUGUUUCAUGGAUAAAUUCAUGUGUGUCUGUUUCUGUUUUGUAAAUACAUUCAUUUGUGUAUGUUUUUCUUAGCGUCUCCGUGAUUUCAUACGCUGUUUAUCUUUCUCUGUCCGGCUCUACUGAGUGUGAUCAUCUCUGGGUCUAUCUAUGCUGCUGCAAAUUUGGCUCUGUCUCUACAACAGCAGGUAAUUUUGCACCUGAUAAAGAACUUCUUCACUGUAUACAAACUGAUAAGAGAAUUUAAAGGGUUCUUUUUUGUUGUUAUGUUUCCUUUAAAAAUACAUUAAGGCAAAUCAGUGAUGCAGUGCUUGUCAUUUAUCUCCCCUGUGGUGGUGGGAAGAGGAUUAAUAAUCACAUUUUAUAAAUCUCUCUCUGAAACAUACAGUGUGCCAUGAGCCAGAAGAGCUGCAAACCUCAUUGCGAAAGUGUCACUGAAUAUCGAAAGGCGUCAGAAUAUAACACAGAAAGUGGCUUUGAAACCAGUUUCAUUGGGAAAGCAGUGAUUCUCGAUUUGGGGGUAUUUAUGAAUUACUCCUAAAAUGCAUUUUCAAUAUGUAGAUCCUGGGAGUUUCCGUUGUGGGUCAGUGGUAAUGAACCCGACUAAUAUCCAUGAGGAUGCGGGUUUGAUCCCUGGCCUCGUUCCGUGGGUCAAGGAUCCCGUGUUGCUGUGGCUGUGGUGUAGGCUGGCAGCUGCAGCUGCGAUUCAGCCCCUUGUCGGGACCCUCCAUAGGCUACAGGUGCAGCCCUACCAAAGUAAAUAAAUACAUAAAUAAAAAGUACAAAUGUAGAUCCCAGUCCUGCCCAGUGGUCUGCAGGCCUGGACUAAGAGUCCUUUAUGUGAAAGAGGUAGUUCCCAGUUCUGGCUCUUUCAAUUGCAUCUCAUUGGAAAGGUCACCUAACUCUCUGGGCCUCAAUGUCUUCAUCUAUGAAAUGGGACAACACAAUGACGACAGCUGGCAUGGAGAAAAAGAUCAAAUGACCCUAAAAGAGUCUCUAAUGGAUAUAAAUGGACCCAUGUCCAUGCAUCAUAAAUUAUAUAUUGUUCUGUAUAAUAUGAAUGUGAUUUUAAUUAUUAAUAAGCUAGUGUCUGGUCCAAAUAUGCAGGCACGCAUGAUACAUAUGUAAAUAAAUACAUGCGUAUUAUAUACAAAAUGACAUUAUGUAAAUAUAUGUAUCCAUAUAUCAAGUUUUCACACAUGUAUACUUCUCAGUGUCAAGGUCACACUGAGUUUUGCAUUAGCAGAACUUUUCCGUUUGUUUUUUUGGAAUUCCCAUUGUGGCGCAGUGGAAACGAAUCUAACUAGUGUCCAUAAGGAUGUGGGUUC
rnacentral:lncRNA from 1 species